AUUGAACGCUGGCGGCAUGCCUUACACAUGCAAGUCGAACGGUAACAGGUCUUCGGAUGCUGACGAGUGGCGAACGGGCGAGUAAUACAUCGGAACGUGCCCGAUCGUGGGGGAUAACGAGGCGAAAGCUUUGCUAAUACCGCAUACGAUCUACGGAUGAAAGCGGGGGAUCUUCGGACCUCGCGCGGACGGAGCGGCCGAUGGCAGAUUAGGUAGUUGGUGGGAUAAAAGCUUACCAAGCCGACGAUCUGUAGCUGGUCUGAGAGGAUGAUCAGCCACACUGGGACUGAGACACGGCCCAGACUCCUACGGGAGGCAGCAGUGGGGAAUUUUGGACAAUGGGCGAAAGCCUGAUCCAGCCAUGCCGCGUGCAGGAUGAAGGCCUUCGGGUUGUAAACUGCUUUUGUACGGAACGAAAAGCCUCUUUCUAAUAAAGAGGGGUCAUGACGGUACCGUAAGAAUAAGCACCGGCUAACUACGUG
rnacentral:rRNA from 1 species